ACGCUCGACACCUACGGCAGCAGUGGGGAAUAUUGCACAAUGGGGGAAACCCUGAUGCAGCGACGCCGCGUGGAGGAAGAAGGUCUUCGGAUUGUAAACUCCUGUUGUUGGGGAAAAAGAGGAUGGUACCCAACAAGGAAGUGACGGCUAACUACGUGCUAGCAGCCGCGGUAAUCUGAGCGGGCUGGCAAGGC
rnacentral:rRNA from 1 species